CAUGUAGAAAACUACAUUAUAAAUGGACUAUCCGUUUGGGGUUGAAAAAGCUGGUUUGUGGAAGUCUUGCUUUCUGGCUGCAGACCAUCCUGGGCUCAGUAACAAUGGAGACUGGGGCAAAACCCUCUGUGCAGUUUAUAGCCUUCCAGGAGAGCAUUAAGGGACUUCACAGAGAAGCAGCAGGAAGGAUCCAAGGUAGUGCCUGCUUGCCGUGAACAGGGGAAUGAACCGAGGGCAGUCUGCUCCUCCAUCCAUGAGGGCUGAUGGGAUGCCGGAUCCCUUUCCAGCAUUGGAAAUUGGACUUUCAUUGUCCAAGACAAUGAAAACAUCUGGGAAUGCCUGACCUGACACACUGAAUUUUUUGGAGAACUUGUCUAUAUUUGGAAGCACACUGAAAUGGCUGCUCUGGGAUCCUUCCUGUUGCAUUCAGGGAUGCAAGUAUUGACCCUGACGCAGGGGUCAUCCCAGUGAAGGUGGAUCAGGAGGGGAGCUCAGAAGCAUCCCCCAGGCUGUCUUCGCAGGUGCCGCGGGGAAGCACGUUUGCCAUGGAUGCCCAUGCAUCUCGGGCCCUGCUCUGCCCGUGCCGCGCCGCCUCUGCCCGGGCGGGAGCUGCCUGCAGCUUCUGCACCCAGAGCUGGGCAGGAGCAGCGGUCCCGGGCACGGAGCCGGCCGCUGCUGGCUGAGCCAGCCGAGGCUCUCCCUGGUUGUGCUCUCCGUAAGUCACUACAUUUAAAUGCUGUCAGAGCAGGGUGAACCACUUAAAACCAAUUAAGUACCUUAAUGAAUCUUUCCCUGAUGGGGUUUCCAUUACCUUAAGUAGAAGACAGUAUGGAGCAGGCGCACCAUUAGCCUAAAGGCUGUCGUUUAGACUCUUGCUAAUUGGAUCACGCAUUUGAAAAUUACUGUGCUCCUGUGGGAUGAAAUAUAUAUGUUUACUUAGAUAUCACUUACAGAUAUUUUCCAACUCAACCCGUACCUGUGUAAGGCUUGCUUUUUUCUGCUUAAAAACCUCUAAACCCCUCUUAACUGCUGCUAAUUUGCCCUGCUUGAGAUGAGCUAUAUAUCUGUAUGCAAAUAGAUUUUAGGUGAAUACAUACAUAGCUGAAAAAUGUUGGGGAAUACUUUUUUUAAGAGCCUAGUGUGGAAUCUGAAAAGCUAAGGUGGAUUUUAAGAUCAUUUUGAAAGAGGAUGAAUUUUAUAAGAGUUUUAGUAGAAUUG